UACAGAGGUCUCAAGCGUUGUUCGGAUUCAUUGGGCGUAAAGGGUGCGUAGGUGGUGAUGCAAGUCUGGUGUGAAAUCUCGGAGCUCAACUCCGAAAUUGCACCGGAUACUGCGUGACUCGAGGACUGUAGAGGAGAUCGGAAUUCACGGUGUAGCAGUGAAAUGCGUAGAUAUCUGGAGGAACACCGGUGGCGGAAGGCGCAUCCUGGACCGGGUAUUGACGGCUGAGGCGCGAAAGCCCAGGGGAGCAAACGGG
rnacentral:rRNA from 1 species